AGGGAUCCCGAGGCGAGGGCUGACCCUCCCCCCGGCCGCCCUGCUGCAGCGCGCCCCCGCCACAUUUCCCGCCUCGCCCCCCCAAACCGCCCGGGCCUCGCCAGGCGGCCCACCCCGGCCCCCGCGGUCCACAGAGCGCGUUCGGAGGCUGCCCCCGCCCGCCCUCCUGUCCCAGCACCACGGAGCCCGACCCUCCCCACGCCGGCGGCCGGCUCCUCAGACCCUCACCCGCCGCGCGCUUCCCGGGCGGCGCAGAGCCCUGCCGCCGGUCCCUCCACCCUCCAAGCCCGGGGCGCGCCGCCGCCUUCCGAGCCUUCGGCGAAGCCCUUACCGCGCCCCGUGUACCGGACCCGGCCUGACCCACCCAGCUACCCACCCCGGGGCCCUUCUCGUCCAGCGCCCCCCACUCCCAACCGGGGUCGCGCUUUCCAGCCCGGCCCAGGAUUCUCACCCCUCCUAGGAGGCAGACAGAGACUCGCGGGACACUCCGCGACCCCCACCAGGGCACUAGGCCCCUCCAACCCCGCGCCCCCGAGGAUCCCACACACCAAGUACCAAGUCCCCACAUCCCCACCCCCAGAUCUCCAACCCCAGCCAGCCGGGGGUCGUCCUCCCGCACACCCAGGCCCUGAUCCCUGCAGGGGUCUCUCUCUCAAGGACCUCAUUCCCCGCCCCUCCAGGGGUCUCUCCACCCACUGGGGGUCCGGUUACCCACUCCCCGGAUCCUUCCUACAAGAAUCCACGGCUCCCGCGGCACAAACCCUCCGCGCAGAGAUCCCUGUGGCUUCCCCCAGCUCCCGCGUCGGCUCUGCUCCUGCUCUCCAGAGCCGCCCGGGCCCCCAGCCCGGAUCCUUCUCGCCCCCACAAACCGUCCCCCCGCCCCCGGCCGCCGCUCUCGGACCCGGGCAGCCGCACCUCUCACCUUCAGCCGAAGAUGGUGGCGCCGGCGCACGUCCCCAGCCGCGACCACAGAUCCGGCGCCUCAGUCCCAAACCCACCGCUGCCUCCGCCGGGCUCCUUUAG
rnacentral:lncRNA from 1 species